rnacentral:tRNA from 1 species
GGGGAUUUAGUUCAGUGGCAUAAGCACCUGCCUUGUAAGCAGGCAGUCGAAUGAGUUCAAUCCCUG